AGAGGGGUGCAAGCGUUAAUCGGAAUUACUGGGCGUAAAGGGCGCGUAGGGGUUGUAAUGUAAGUUAGAUGUGAAAUUUCCGGGGCUUAACCUGGAAAGGUCAUCUAAAACUGCAUGACUAGAGUAUAGUAGAGGGAAGGGGAAUUUCCGGUGUAGCGGUGAAAUGCGUAGAUAUCGGAAGGAACAUCAGUGGCGAAGGCGCCUUCCUGGACUAAUACUGACACUGAGGCGCGAAAGCGUGGGGAGCGAACAGGAUUAGAUACCCUGGUAGUCCACGCCGUAAACGAUGAGAACUAGCUGUUGGGUGAGACAUCACUUAGUAGCGAAGCUAACGCGAUAAGUUCUCCGCCUGGGGAGUACGGCCGCAAGGUUA
rnacentral:rRNA from 1 species